CCGUAGCCCAAGAGAUCGGGAUAACACCUGGAAACAGAUGCUAAUACCGGAUAACAACAGAUGAUGCCUAUCAACUGUUUAAAAGAUGGUUCUGCUAUCACUCUUGGAUGGACCUGCGGUGCAUUAGCUAGUUGGUAGGGUAACGGCCUACCAAGGCGAUGAUGCAUAGCCGAGUUGAGAGACUGAUCGGCCACAUUGGGACUGAGACACGGCCCAAACUCCUACGGGAGGCAGCAGUU
rnacentral:rRNA from 1 species